UACAGAGGGUGCAAGCGUUAAUCGGAAUUACUGGGCGUAAAGCGUGCGUAGUCGGCCAUUCAAGUCGGGUGUGAAAGCCCCGGGCUCAACCUGGGAAUUGCAUUCGAUACUGUGUGGCUAGAGUUCGGCAGAGGGAAGUGGAAUUUCUGGUGUAGCGGUGAAAUGCGUAGAUAUCAGAAGGAACAUCAGUGGCGAAAGCGACUUCCUGGACCAGAACUGACGAUCAGGCACGAAAAGCUAGGGGGAGCAAACGGG
rnacentral:rRNA from 1 species